AUGAUGGGGCGCUCCAAGGCAAUUGAUGAAGCGGAUCUACAUGACGUUCUGUCAUUGCGAGAUGAUUUUGGAGUACUGCAGCAGGAGAGUGCACAGAUGCAAAAUCAGAUGUCUAAGCUACAAGUGGAAGUGCAAGUAAUUGGAGCCAAGCAAGGACAGAUCUCUAAAACAGUGGGUACAGUGGAGCAAGUUGUACGUGAUCUGAGCAAGCAAUUAGCAACAAUUAGUACUGUUUUAACUAAUUUGGUUAAAGUUUCUCAACCUGAUGCCCAGCAAGAUAAUCCAUCCAGUUCAACUCAGGUGGUCAAAUCUCCCACUCUGCAUAGAGAACAAACACAAGAACAAGCAGUGAGAAUAGAGCAACUGAAGCAACAGUUAGCAACAGAGAAAGAGAAGACUAAGCAGAUGGAAGAUAGCCAGUUACAGAAUUUACCUCCCAUCAGAACAAACAGAGUUACAGUGCCACCUGGCUAUGCUCAACCAGGGAGAAAUGACACUGCCAGUGCAGUAGGAACUCCUGUUACCGGAAGACAUAAUGCACAUACUCCUACAUUCAACCAGUUUUACCAGCAAAACAGAGACAAGCAAUUGUGGCAAGGGUACUACAAAACUUGUGAGCAGUAUAUGCAUGCUCAGUUCAUGAAAUCAGUUACAAAAGGACCUAGGCUGGAUUUCCCUAGAUUUUCUGGAACAGACCCAGUGGGAUGGAUUAGACGAUGCAACAAAUACUUCCAAAUGUCUAGAGCUCUAGAAGAGUACAAAGUAUCAUUAGAACAGAUGUACAUUGUGGAUGAUGCUGAUGUAUGGCUCAGGAGAUCUGGUUUGUUAAAAAGACAGCUAAAUUGGAAAGAAUUUGGUGCAGAGGUAGUUAAAAGAUUUUCUGACAAAGGUUCAUAUGAUCUAAUAGAAAAGUUCAACUCAAUCAAACAGUUGCAUUACGCUGUAUCUGAAUACACUAAAAUCUUUGAGGAUUUAAUGGCAGAUGUGCAAGAGGAAAAUCCUGAGCUGGGAGAACUGUGGUUUGUGAGGUGCUAUGUGAAUGGUCUAAGAGAGGGCAUUAAAUUUCAACUUAGGCCUUUCAGACCUAAAACCCUAACAGAUGCUUACUGUAUGGCAAAGGACAUAUAG
rnacentral:rRNA from 1 species